CUUGGUCAUUUAGAGGAAGUAAAAGUCGUAACAAGGUUUCCGUAGGUGAACCUGCGGAAGGAUCAUUAAAGAACGCCCCGUUUUUUGAAAUGGGUAAUUCCCAAACCGUGUCUAUAUACCUUUGUUGCUUUGGCAGGUCGCCUUCUAGGAGGCGUCGGCUCCGGCUGACUGCGCCUGCCAGAGGACCCAAACUCGUUUUGUUUAGUGUCGUCUGAGUACUAUAUAAUAGUUAAAACUUUCAACAACGGAUCUCUUGGUUCUGGCAUCGAUGAAGAACGCAGCGAAAUGCGAUAAGUAAUGUGAAUUGCAGAAUUCAGUGAAUCAUCGAAUCUUUGAACGCACAUUGCGCCCCUUGGUAUUCCGAGGGGCAUGCCUGUUCGAGCGUCAUUAUAACCACUCAAGUUUCGACUUGGUAUUGGGGUUUGCGGUUUCGCGGCCCUUAAAAUCAGUGGCGGUGCCGUCUGGCCCUAAGCGUAGUAAUUCUCUCGCUACAGGGUCCGGGUGGUUGCUUGCCAGAAUCCCCCACUUUUAUAGGUUGACCUCGGAUCAGGUAGGGAUACCCGCUGAACUUAAGCAUAUCAAUAAGCGGAGGA
rnacentral:rRNA from 1 species